rnacentral:rRNA from 1 species
UGAGAAUCUGCCUAGAGGUCGGGGACAACCAUUGGAAACGAUGGCUAAUACCGGAUAUGCCUUACGGGGUGAAAGAUUAAUUGCCUUUAGAAGAGCUCGCGUCUGAUUAGCUAGUUGGUGAGGUAAGAGCUCACCAAGGCAGCGAUCAGUAGCUGGUCUGAGAGGAUGACCAGCCACACUGGGACUGAGACACGGCCCAGACUCCUACGGGAGGCAGCAGUGGGGAAUUUUCCGCAAUGGGCGAAAGCCUGACGGAGCAAGACCGCGUGAGGGAGGAAGGCUCUUGGGUUGUAAACCUCUUUUGUCAGGGAAGAACAAAAUGACGGUACCUGACGAAUCAGCAUCGGCUAACUCCGUGCCAGCAGCCGCGGUAAUACGGAGGAUGCAAGCGUUAUCCGGAAUUAUUGGGCGUAAAGCGUCCGCAGGUGGCUGAUCAAGUCUGCGGUCAAAGACCGGGGCUUAACCCUGGAAAGGCCGUGGAAACUGAUAGAGCUAGAGUACCGUAGGGGUAGAGGGAAUUCCCGGUGUAGCGGCGAAAUGCGUAGAGAUCGGGAAGAACAUCGGUGGCGAAAGCGCUCUACUGGACGGUGACUGACACUCAGGGACGAAAGCUAGGGGAGCGAAUGGGAUUAGAUACCCCAGUAGUC